GAUGAACGCUGGCGGCAGGCCUAACACAUGCAAGUCGAACGAGUGGCGGACGGGUGAGUGAUGUCUGGGCACCUGCCUGAUGGAGGGGGAUAACUACUGGAAACGUUAGCUAAUACCGCAUACCAUCGGAUGUGCCCAGAUGGGAUUAGCUAGUAGGGGGGGUAACGGCUCACCUAGGCGACGAUCCCUAGCUGGUCUGAGAGGAUGACCAGCCACACUGGAACUGAGACACGGUCCAGACUCCUACGGGAGGCAGCAGUGGGGAAUCUUGCACAAUGGGCGAAAGCCUGAUGCAGCCAUGCCGCGUGGAUGAAGAAGGCCUUCGGGUUGUAAAGUACUUUCAGCGGGGAGGCGUUACCCGCAGAAGAAGCACCGGCUAACUACGUGCCAGCAGCCGCGGUAAUUC
rnacentral:rRNA from 1 species